rnacentral:rRNA from 1 species
UCUUCCCUCUUUCUUCGUGCCUAAUACAUGCAAGUCGAGCGAACAGACGAGGAGCUUGCUCCUCUGACGUUAGCGGCGGACGGGUGAGUAACACGUGGAUAACCUACCUAUAAGACUGGGAUAACUUCGGGAAACCGGAGCUAAUACAGGAUAAUAUAUUGAACCGCAUGGUUCAAUAGUGAAAGACGGUUUUGCUGUCACUUAUAGAUGGAUCCGCGCCGCAUUAGCUAGUUGGUAAGGUAACGGCUUACCAAGGCAACGAUGCGUAGCCGACCUGAGAGGGCGAUCGGCCACACUGGAACUGAGACACGGUCCAGACUCCUACGGGAGGCAGCAGUAGGGAAUCUUCCGCAAUGGGCGAAAGCCUGACGGAGCAACGCCGCGUGAGUGAUGAAGGUCUUCGGAUCGUAAAACUCUGUUAUUAGGGAAGAACAAAUGUGUAAGUAACUAUGCACGUCUUGACGGUACCUAAUCAGAAAGCCACGGCUAACUACGUG